rnacentral:rRNA from 1 species
GCACUUUAUACUGUGAAACUGCGAAUGGCUCAUUAAAUCAGUUAUCGUUUAUUUGAUAGUACCUUGCUACAUGGAUACCUGUGGUAAUUCUAGAGCUAAUACAUGCUAAAAACCCCGACUUCAGGAAGGGGUGUAUUUAUUAGAUAAAAAACCAACGCCCUUCGGGGCUCCUUGGUGAAUCAUAAUAACUUAACGAAUCGCAUGGCCUUGCGCCGGCGAUGGUUCAUUCAAAUUUUUGGCCCUAUCAACUUUCGAUGGUAGGAUAGUGGCCUACCAUGGUGGCAACGGGUAACGGGGAAUUAGGGUUCGAUUCCGGAGAGGGAGCCUGAGAAACGGCUACCACAUCCAAGGAAGGCAGCAGGCGCGCAAAUUACCCAAUCCCGAUACGGGG